rnacentral:rRNA from 1 species
GUGGGGAAUAUUGGACAAUGGGCGAAAGCCUGAUCCAGCCAUGCCGCGUGUGUGAAGAAGGUCUUCGGAUUGUAAAGCACUUUAAGUUGGGAGGAAGGGCAGUAAGUUAAUACCUUGCUGUUUUGACGUUACCGACAGAAUAAGCACCGGCUAACUUCGUGCCAGCAGCCGCGGUAAUACGAAGGGUGCAAGCGUUAAUCGGAAUUACUGGGCGUAAAGCGCGCGUAGGUGGUUUUGUAAGUUGGAGGUGAAAUCCCCGGGCUCCACCUGGGAACUGCCUCCAAAACUGCAUGACUAGAGUACGGUAGAGGGUAGUGGAAUUUCCUGUGUAGCGGUGAAAUGCGUAGAUAUAGGAAGGAACACCAGUGGCGAAGGCGACUACCUGGACUGAUACUGACACUGAGGUGCGAAAGCGUGGGGAGCAAACAGGAUUAGAAACCCGGGUAGUCC